CAGCCGCCGCGGUAAUACGUAGGUGGCAAGCGUUGUCCGGAAUUAUUGGGCGUAAAGGGCUCGCAGGCGGUUUCUUAAGUCUGAUGUGAGAGCCCCCGGCUCAACCGGGGAGGGUCAUUGGAAACUGGGAAACUUGAGUGCAGAAGAGGAGAGUGGAAUUCCACGCGUAGCGGUGAAAUGCGUAGAGAUGUGGAGGAACACCAGUGGCGAAGGCGACUCUCUGGUCUGUAACUGACGCUGAGGAGCGAAAGCGUGGGGAGCGAACAGGAUUAGAUACCCGUGUAGUCCCUGUCUCUUAUAC
rnacentral:rRNA from 1 species